ACGAUUUCGGUGUAAAAAACCGUUUUCUACCUAUGUCUACGCGUACCACUUGUUUCCUCGGGGGGGCUUGCCCCCCCGCUAGGACCCUUUAUCAAACCUUUUUGUAAUAGCAGUCAGCGUCUGAUACUAAGUUAAUUAUUA
rnacentral:misc_RNA from 1 species